rnacentral:tRNA from 1 species
GGGCCGCUGGUCUAGUGGUAUGAUUCUCGCUUAGGGAAGACCCUACAGCUCAUGUUGCGAGAGGUCCCGGGUUCGAUCCCCGGGUGGCCCC